AAUCAACGCUGGCGGCGUGCCUCAGACAUGCAAGUCGAACGCGAAAGUCCCCUUCGGGGGAUGAUUAGAGUGGCGCACGGGUGAGUAACACGUAGGUAAUCUACCUUCGAGUGGGGAAUAACUCAGGGAAACUUGAGCUAAUACCGCAUAAUGCAGCGGCACCACAUGGUGACAGUUGUUAAAGCAUUUAUGCGCUUGAAGAGGGGCCUGCGGCAGAUUAGCUAGUUGGCGGGAUAAAAGACCCACCAAGAACUUCGAUCGGUAGCCGGUCUGAGAGGGCGACCGGCCACACUGGGACUGAGACACGGCCCAGACUCCUACGGGAGGCAGCAGUGGGGAAUCUUGCGCAAUGGGCGAAAGCCUGACGCAGCGACGCCGCGUGAGGGA
rnacentral:rRNA from 1 species